rnacentral:rRNA from 1 species
UGGGGAAUAUUGCACAAUGGGGGAAACCCUGAUGCAGCGACGCCGCGUGAACGAAGAAGGUAUUCGUAUCGUAAAGUUCUGUCCUAUGGGAAGAUAAUGACAGUACCAUAGAAGAAAGCUCCGGCUAAAUACGUGCCAGCAGCCGCGGUAAUACGUAUGGAGCGAGCGUUGUCCGGAAUUAUUGGGCGUAAAGGGUACGCAGGCGGUUUAAUAAGUCGAAUGUUAAAGAUCGGGGCUCAACCCCGCAAAGCGUUGGAAACUGAUAAACUUGAGUAGUGGAGAGGAAAGUGGAAUUCCUAGUGUAGUGGUGAAAUACGUAGAUAUUAGGAGGAAUACCAGUAGCGAAGGCGACUUUCUGGACACAAACUGACGCUGAGGUACGAAAGCGUGGGGAGCAAACAGG